GACGAACGCUGGCGGCGUGCUUAAUACAUGCAAGUCGAACGGAAAGGUCCUGCUUUUGUGGGGUGCUCGAGUGGCGAACGGGUGAGUAACACGUGAGUAACCUGCCCUUGUCUUUGGGAUAACUUCAGGAAACUGGGGCUAAUAUCGGAUAGGAGCUCCUGCUGCAUGGUGGGGGUUGGAAAGUUUCGGCGGUUGGGGAUGGACUCGCGGCUUAUCAGCUUGUUGGUGGGGUAGUGGCUUACCAAGGCUUUGACGGGUAGCCGGCCUGAGAGGGGGACCGGCGACAUUGGGACUGAGAGACGGCCCAGACUCCUACGGGAGGCAGCAGUGGGAAAUAUUGCACAAUGGGCGGAAGCCUGAUGCAGCAACGCCGCGUGCGGGAUGACGGCCUUCGGGUUGUAAACCGCUUUCGCCUGUGACGAAGCGUGAGUGACGGUAAUGAGUAAAGAAGCACCGGCUAACUACGUG
rnacentral:rRNA from 1 species